rnacentral:tRNA from 1 species
GGGGACUUGGCGCAGUGGUAGCGUAUAUCCAACUAAAGGGUAAGGUCCUAGGUUCGAAUCCUAGAGUCCCCA